rnacentral:tRNA from 1 species
UCCCUGGUGGUCCAGUGGUUAAGACUUUGUGCUUCCAAUGCAGGGGCUUGGGUUCAAUCCCUGGUCAGGGAA